UCCUGGGCAGUAAUUAUUGCCUUGAUAUGCUCCAAGUUGAUGACAAUCGCUCUCUCUCGACCCAAAAUUGUAGAUGGGUACGAAAGUUGUGGGUCCAGAAUCCGCAGGUCACGAGCAGGCAAGCCGGUGCGGCGCAUGAUGGCAUGCUUACCCGCCUCCACAACCUGGGCCUGGCCGGUAUUGUCAAGGAGGAGCCAGGGCCGAACCCCGGUUCCUUUCUUGCGGACAGUCGGGAGGACGGAGGCGGCGGCCGGUCGGGUUAAUGGGUCGGAGUCGUCAUCGGGUUGUGGAUAGGUGGGUUUGGAUAGAGGCGGAAGGUGAGACCUCAUAGUGAAGGCCGGAGUCUACGCCUGGGGUAGGCUGGAUGUGGAGUU
rnacentral:misc_RNA from 1 species